UUGUAUUCGUGCAUAAGCAGAGAACACGACUGGGAGGUGCCGUGUGCUCUUGUUACAGUGCUCCUGAACAUACUCUCGGACUGCGUGUUUAAUCCACAUCGUAUGCAGUAUUUCUGAAGCUCUAGUGAAGACCACCUGACUGCUGUUCUUGAGGAGUUCCAUGAUGGCUACCAGUCGGAAGAUCAAAUUCGACUCUCUUGAGAAAAUGUGUCUGUCCCUAGGUGGCACCCACAGUGUCCAGAAUGCUCAGGUCACUGCAGCAGAAGAGGAAACGCCCUCCACGUCUCCUACCUCUCCUUGUUCUGAGGACUUUCCCCUGAGCUUCCCUGGUAUACGGGUCCCAGACUUACCACAGGCAUUCCUGUACACCACUCUGGAUAGACAAGAUGCUUUCAUUGCAAGCAUUGCUAAAGUUUCCCAGACUCAAGGAGAGGGAAAUGCAAGUGCUUCUGAGGCUGUUGCGACUCCUAGUAAGAAUUCCCAGAGAGAUCCCAUUGUCCAGAGCAUGAACAUAUUGGUGCAGUUCUUGCUGCGCAAGUAUAAAAUGAAAGAGUCCGUUUCCAAGGCAGAAAUGAUGAAGGUCAUCAACAAAAAGUACAAGGAGCAUUACUCUGAGAUGCUGAGGAGGGUCUCUGAGCACAUGAAGAUGGUCUUUGGGCUUGAGAUGAAGGAAGUCGACUCUACAAGUCAAUCAUAUAUUUUGACUCACAUUUUAUAGAUUACCAGGGAAGGGUACCAGGGGGUUUCCUAAGGUCGGCAUGCUCCUGCCCUUCUGCGGAUAACCUACAGGAAUGACUGCCAGGUACAGAGCAGGAGAUGCAGCAAUUCCUGAAUUCACUAUGGAUUAUUGAUGGGAAGAGGUACUUCAUUUUUGGAGAGCCUAAGAAACUCAUCACCAGAGAUUUGGUGUGGGAAAAUUACCUGGUGUACUGGCAAGUGCCCAAUAGUUUUCCUCCAUAGUAUGAAUUCCUGUGGAGUUCCAGAGCCUAUACUGAGGCCAGUAAGAAAAAGUUGUUGGAGUUCUUGGUCAAGGUCAAUAAUAUUGAAACGUAUGCUUUUCAUGUACUCUAUGAAUGAACUUGGGGGUUUGAAGGGAGAUCAAUAAACACACUGUGGACUGGGGUAAGUUUUUGUGCCAGGGCAAGGGCCCAUGUCAGGGUCAAGUCCAGCAAGACCUCCGACCCCUCAUGAAAGCUGGCAGAGUCGCAUCACUUUGUUGUUAAAAUGAUGGUAGGCAUAGUAAAGAGUGGGGCUGCAAAGAGGUUUUACCUUCACCUCCCAUGCACAAUUAGCCUAUAGAUUGAACUCUGUGGGAUUUUUCUUUGGAUUUUGAAAUGCUGUGCUUUUUACUGGAUGCUAAUUUAGACUCUGAAGACACAAUAAUUGUUUGUAAAAUGUUUUUUUAAAAGGGUAGACGUAUGCUUUCUUUACAAAAGAUGGUUACUUGGCUCUUCAGUCAGAAAAGCAGGAACUACUGUAUAAGGUUGGAUGUGGGUUCAGAGUAAGGGAAUCCUCAGAAAUGGCAAGGAAGUCCACAGUCAAGAGCUUAGGGACAGAGGGUGAUAUUGUUGGACGGGAAAAAUUACUGGUUCCCUGAUAUCUUUUGUUUAAGUGAAUAACUAUUGCAUUUGCUUAGUUCAUUAAAAAUUUUUGGAAAAAUAAAAGGUGAUGAUUUACA